UGGGGAAUAUUGGACAAUGGGCGAAAGCCUGAUCCAGCCAUGCCGCGUGUGUGAAGAAGGUCUUCGGAUUGUAAAGCACUUUAAGUUGGGAGGAAGGGCAGUAAGCUAAUACCUUGCUGUUUUGACGUUACCGACAGAAUAAGCACCGGCUAACUUCGUGCCAGCAGCCGCGGUAAUACGAAGGGUGCAAGCGUUAAUCGGAAUUACUGGGCGUAAAGCGCGCGUAGGUGGUUCGUUAAGUUGGAUGUGAAAGCCCCGGGCUCAACCUGGGAACUGCAUCCAAAACUGGCGAGCUAGAGUAUGGUAGAGGGUGGUGGAAUUUCCUGUGUAGCGGUGAAAUGCGUAGAUAUAGGAAGGAACACCAGUGGCGAAGGCGACCACCUGGACUGAUACUGACACUGAGGUGCGAAAGCGUGGGGAGCAAAACAGGAUUAGAUACCCUGGUAGUCCACGCCGUAAAACGAUGUCAACUAGCCGUUGGGUUCCUUGAGAACUUAGUGGCGCAGCUAACGCAUUAAGUUGACCGCCUGGGGAGUACGGCCGCAAGGUUAAACUCAAGGAAUUGACGGGGUCAUAGCUGUUUCCUG
rnacentral:rRNA from 1 species